rnacentral:rRNA from 1 species
GGACGAACGCUGGCGGCGUGCCUAAUACAUGCAAGUUGAGCGAUGAAGAUUGGUGCUUGCACCAAUUUGAAGAGCAGCGAACGGGUGAGUAACGCGUGGGGAAUCUGCCUUUGAGCGGGGGACAACAUUUGGAAACGAAUGCUAAUACCGCAUAACAACUUUAAACAUAAGUUUUAAGUUUGAAAGAUGCAAUUGCAUCACUCAAAGAUGAUCCCGCGUUGUAUUAGCUAGUUGGUGAGGUAAAGGCUCACCAAGGCGAUGAUACAUAGCCGACCUGAGAGGGUGAUCGGCCACAUUGGGACUGAGACACGGCCCAAACUCCUACGGGAGGCAGCAGUAGGGAAUCUUCGGCAAUAGACGAAAGUCUGACCGAGCAACGCCGCGUGAGUGAAGAAGGUUUUCGGAUCGUAAAACUCUGUUGGUAGAGAAGAACGUUGGUGAGAGUGGAAAGCUCAUCAAGUGACGGUAACUACCCAGAAAGGGACGGCUAACUACGUG